AUUGAACGCUAGCGGCAGGCCUAACACAUGCAAGUCGAACGAGUGGCGGACGGGUGAGUAAUGUCUGGGAACCUGCCCGAUGGAGGGGGAUAACUACUUGAAACGGUAGCUAAUACCGCAUACCAUCUGAUGUGCCCAGUGGGGAUUAUCUAGUAGGGGGGGUAACGGCUCACCUAGGCGACGAUCCCUAGCUGGUCUGCGAGGAUGACCAGCCACACUGGAACUGAGACACUGUCCAGACUCCUACGGGAGGCAGCAGUGGGGAAUAUUGCACAAGGUGCGCAAGCCUGAUGCAGCCAUGCCGCGUGUAUGAAGAAGGCCUUCGGGUUGUAAAGUACUUUCAGCGAGGAGGCGUUACUCGCAGAAGAAGCACCGGCUAACUCCGUGCCAGCAGCCGCGGUAAUUC
rnacentral:rRNA from 1 species